UCAUGAAUUUGCGUGUCAUCCUUAAAAUUGGAAUGAUACAGAGACGAAUAGCAUGGCCCCUGUGCAUGGAUGACACACAUUCAUUUUCAAUGAGAUACUCUGUGAUUUU